rnacentral:sRNA from 1 species
UAGCCUCGUGAGAUUUACGAACAACUUC